AGCUCCAAUAGCGUAUAUUAAAGUUGCUGCAGUUAAAAAGCUCGUAGUUGCAUUUCCGAGGCAAGGGAUUAGUCCGACCUUUGGUGGGUAUUUCAUCCUCUUUCCUCUUCCUUGAGUGGUGCUUCUUGGUAUUAAGUUAUCGAGGAGAUAGCCGCUCAUCGUUUACUGUGAGAAAAUUAGAGUGUUCAAAGCAGGCUUAUGCCGUUGAAUAUAUUAGCAUGGAAUAAUAAGAUAGGACCUAGGUACUAUUUUGUUGGUUUGAGAACCAAGGUAAUGAUGAAUAGGGACAGUUGGGGGUAUUCGUAUUCAGUUGUCAGAGGUGAAAUUCUUAGAUUUACGGAAGACGAACUACUGCGAAAGCAUUUACCAAGGAUGUUUUCA
rnacentral:rRNA from 1 species